rnacentral:rRNA from 1 species
AGAAUCAACGCUGGCGGCGUGCCUAACACAUGCAAGUCGAACGAGAAAGUGGAGCAAUCCAUGAGUAAAGUGGCGACCGGGUGAGUAACACGUGACUAACCUACCUUCGAGUGGGGGAUAACCUCGGGAAACCGAGGCUAAUACCGCAUAACAUCGCAAGAUCAAAGCAGCAAUGCGCUGGAAAGAGGGGGGUCGCGGCUGAUUAGCUAGUUGGCGGGGUAAUGGCCCACCAAGGCGAAGAUCGGUA